GCUUUUGCUGGGCGUACUUUCUGGUCAAUGGGUCAGCAUCAAUUUUGACCACUGGAAAAAGUGUGAAGGAAUGUGGCAUCUUCGGAUGUGUUAUAGCCUUUACUUGCAUACAGUGGUUGGGAUUGAGGAACUCAGCACGCCGCAAGGCCGGGUUUCGACCACGUUCGUGCUUAGGAUGCUGGCAUAAUGGCUUUAAUCGACCCGUCUUGAAACACGG
rnacentral:rRNA from 1 species